AAAGGCAGAGGAGUUGGAGGAUCCUCACAGCCCUUAAAGCAGCCUAGGUGACUAUAAUUUUAGAAGCUGAUUCAUCUGCACUGAUUCUGCAGGACUGGAAGAAAAAGGGAGCAUCUAACAAUUUAGCAGGUUACUCUGUCCCUUCUGAGCUUGUCUAUUAACAGCUCAUUGAAUGGAGGAGGAAGAAGAAACUAGUGAGACCUCUCUUGGUAUUGUUCAGCAGUGACCCCGGCUUUCUCAGAUUGGUGGCCAAUGCUCACUAAACAGCCUUUGUCAGUACAUGUUGUUUUGCUGGAUAAUAGUAUAUUGUGCUCGCAGCCGUCUCUAUCAGCAGCAGGUAACAAUAAGCUGGGAAAUAAGUCUCCCGUGUGGCAUGGUAAGGUCAUAUGAAUGAUGUAUAAAAAUCCAAGAGAAAGCUCGUUAGGAUGGUCUGUGCAGUGCAAGAAGACCUGUGCCAUCUUGAGAGACCUUUGUCCACACUUCCGCUGUGCAUUGUUCAGGAUCCUCAUCACUGCUGUGUCCUCCAGCUUGAAAUGGACAUAGGGAAUGAGGAAGUUUUACCCCUCAAUAUAUGCUGUAUGAUUUUCUGGCUGUAUGUCCACUGCUCAUAGCCUGUAUUUCAUGAAAGGUGAGUUUUGUUGAGGUAACCAGGCUCGGUAAAUCCCAGGACAGAUGCACCCAGAGACUGCCCACACCAUGGGCCAUGCCCAUCACUCCUGUAGCUGUAGAAGGCUAUGAGAAUAUGUUGCAAUGAGAAAUGUGAUGUUGAGAGGCCUGGAUCCUGCUCCAGCAUUGCUGUUCCCCUGUCCCUGUGCUGAGAUUCUCCGUUGCUGUGCCAUGCAAUGAGCCUGCUCACCCUCUGCUUUCAAAUGGAUUAUGUAAAAUCUAUAGUAUUUUACUACUGAUGGCUGAGAUUUCUUUGACUUUUCUUAGUGUUUUAUAUGGCAACACCAGCACCGAGUUGGUGGCCCAAACAGUGUUUAAUGAAGGGAAUCAUGCUUGGCACAGAUUUCCCCACUACCAAAACCCGACGCACUGCACUUACAGCCCGUUCUGUUACAGAAACAUCGUGGCUUCAGCUUAUUUUUUUGCUGCGCUAAGUGUUGCAGAUCUUGUGUUAUCUCUCAGACAGACUGACAAAGCGGCAGAACGGAGAAAUCAGGUUUCAGAGCGAGUGAUUUAUGGAACACGAACUUCUCCGAGCGCGCAUUGAGACUCCCCCGUGUGGCACGAUGCCGAUGCCGCUGCCGGCUCAGCCCGCCGGGCUGGGGCUGCCCGUGCUCCCAGCGACUAAAUGCGGCCCAGAGAACACUCCCAUGCUCAGAAGUGGCCGUCAGUUUGCAAUUAAUGUUGACCGCUAGAGCAUAAUGUUGUUCCGUUGUCUUUCUGCUGCAGGGGAAAAAGAAAAAAAAGAGUGUAAUAUUUUACUAACUGUGAUGCUCUGGGAAGAAUUAUGAGGUCUCAUAUUUCUUUACUAUGAAUUAGUCUUAACAACUUCAUUCUCAGUUUCAUUUUCCCCCAACAAUGUAUCUCAGGAUGAUACCUUUAAUAGAUGUUAAAAUCUAUUUGGACAUCAUUAGUUAUUUUAAAACUUGGCAUUAUAAAUGCAUGUGGAUUAACAGAACAAUUCAAGGUUCUAAACACAUGUUAAUUGUUCUCCUCUUUAGGUUACUUAUGAUAAACAUUCUCGCUUUUUGUCUUAGUUGUUUUCCGUUCAGAAUGGAAUAUUUUUACCCAAUACCUCCAUAAAAAAUGUUAAUUAAAAUUUCUUCUGCUAUCUAUUGUAUAUCUUAGAUAUAUUUUCUU